rnacentral:lncRNA from 1 species
AUGCUCCCAUCCCCGUUGCCAUCGCACUCCCGUCCCCAUCACAUUCCCAUCCCCACUGUCAUCGUAUUCCCAUCCCCAUCCUGCUCCUGUCCCCAUUGCCAUCGCGCUCCCGUCCCCAUCGUGCUCCUGUCCCCGCUGCGCUCCUGUCCCCAUCCCCAUCACACUCCCAUCCCUGUUGUGCUCCCGUCCCUGUCGCGCUCCUGUCCCCAUCCCCAUCGUGCUCCCGUCCCCGUUGUGCUCCCAUCUCCAUCAUGCUCCUGUCCCCAUCGCGCUCCCAUCCCCGUCACGCUCCCGUCCCCAUCAUGCUCCCAUCUCUGUCCCCUUUGCCAUCGUGCUCCUGUCCCCAUCAUGCUCCCGUCCCCGUCCCUGUUGUGCUCUUGUCCCCAUUGCCAUUGUGCUCCCGUCCCUGUCCCGCUCCCAUCCUUGUCCUGCUCCCAUCCUUGUCCCGCUCCUGUCCCCGUCCCCAUCAUGCUCCUGUCCAUGUCCUACUCCCAUCCGUGUCCCGCUCCCAUCCCUGCUCCCAUCACGCUGUGGCUCUGGGUGCUCCCAGGGACUUUCUCCUCGGUGGCAACCGCCGAGYGGCUCCGCUGGGAAGCGCCGCUCCCCCUGCUCGGGAUGCACCGGGAUAACAGCUGGAAGGGGCCGGGCCAGAUGUGCAGCACCGUCCCUGGGCUCCCGGCGGCUUUCGUUCGGGCCGACCUGCGUCCUCGCCGCGCCGCCGUCCCCGGGGCUCGGCCCGGCGCCACGUGGCCCCGUCUCCCGAAAUCCGGGAGGGGACCCGGAGUACCCCAGGAGCGCGGUCAUCCCCGGCAUCGGCAACGCCCGCGAUGCCGCCGGCCCUGGCAGGUGCCCAACGCCCGGCUGGAGACGGGCAACGCCACGGAGCUCGACGCCUGCCUGCGCUACGCCUGCGAGCYGGGCUACAAGCGCAAGGCCGGCACCUCCAGCCUCACGCGCUGCGUGCUGCUGCCCGGCGCCGCCGAGCCCGCCUGGACCCAGCCCACGCUGCAGUGCAUCCGCGACCCCGCGCUGCCUCCGCUC